AGAGUUUGAUCAUGGCUCAGGAUGAACGCUGGCGGCGUGCCUAAUACAUGCAAGUCGAACGCUUCACAUUUGUGAAGAGUGGCGAACGGGUGAGUAAUACAUAAGUAACCUGGCAUCUACAGGGGGAUAACUGAUGGAAACGUCAGCUAAGACCGCAUAGGUGUAGAGAUCGCAUGAACUCUAUAUGAAAAGUGCUACGGGACUGGUAGAUGAUGGACUUAUGGCGCAUUAGCUAGUUGGUAGGGUAACGGCCUACCAAGGCGACGAUGCGUAGCCGACCUGAGAGGGUGACCGGCACACUGGGACUGAGACACGGCCCAGACUCCUACGGGAGGCA
rnacentral:rRNA from 1 species